UACGAAGGGUGCAAGCGUUACUCGGAAUCACUGGGCGUAAAGCGUGCGUAGGCGGUUUCUUAAGUCUGUCGUGAAAGCCCUGGGCUCAACCUGGGAAUGGCGAUGGAUACUGGGAGGCUAGAGUGUGAUAGAGGAUGGUGGAAUUCCCGGUGUAGCGGUGAAAUGCGUAGAGAUCGGGAGGAACACCGGUGGCGAAGGCGGCCAUCUGGAUCAACACUGACGCUGAGGCACGAAAGCGUGGGGAGCAAACAGG
rnacentral:rRNA from 1 species